rnacentral:rRNA from 1 species
GACGAACGCUGGCGGCGUGCUUAACACAUGCAAGUCGAACGAAGUGGCGAACGGGUGAGUAAUACGUGGGUAACCUGCCCUCCUUUUUGGGAUAAGCCUUGGAAACGGGGUCUAAUACCGAAUAAAGGGGGAUGGGCUCGCGGCCUAUCAGCUUGUUGGUGAGGUAAUGGCUCACAAAGGCGACGCUCCCUAGCUGGUCUGAGAGGAUGAUCAGCAAAACUGGGACUGAGAAACGGACCAGACUCCUACGGUAGGCAGCAGUGGGGAAUAUGGCACAAUGGGGGCAAGCGUGAUGCAGCCAUGCCGCGUGUAUGAAGAAGGCCCUAGGGUUGUAAAGUACUUUCAGUCGGGAGGCGUUACCGACAGAAGAAGCACCGGCUAACUCCGUGCCAGCAGCCGCGGUAAUAC